rnacentral:rRNA from 1 species
CACGUAGGCGGGUCUUUAAGUCGGGGGUGAAAUCCUGGAGUUCAACUCCAGAACUGCCUUCGAUACUGAGGAUCUCGAGUCCGGGAGAGGUGAGUGGAACUCCGAGUGUAGAGGUGAAAUUCGUAGAUAUUCGGAAGAACACCAGUGGCGAAGGCGGCUCACUGGCCCGGUACUGACGCUGAGGUGCGAAAGCGUGGGGAGCAAACA